CGAACGGGUGAGUAACACGUGAGCAACCUGCCCCAGGCUUUGGGAUAACCCCGGGAAACCGGGGCUAAUACCGAAUAUGACCUCUGACCGCAUGGUUGGUGGUGGAAAGUUUUUCGGCUUGGGAUGGGCUCGCGGCCUAUCAGCUUGUUGGUGGGGUGAUGGCCUACCAAGGCGACGACGGGUAGCCGGCCUGAGAGGGCGACCGGCCACACUGGGACUGAGACACGGCCCAGACUCCUACGGGAGGCAGCAGUGGGGAAUAUUGCACAAUGGGCGGAAGCCUGAUGCAGCGACGCCGCGUGAGGGAUGACGGCCUUCGGGUUGUAAACCUCUUUCAGCAGGGACGAAGCGUAAGUGACGGUACCUGCAGAAGAAGCGCCGGCCAACUACGUGCCAGCAGCCGCGGUAAGACGUAGGGCGCGAGCGUUGUCCGGAUUUAUUGGGCGUAAAGAGCUCGUAGGCGGCUUGUCGCGUCGACCGUGAAAACUUGGGGCUCAACCCCAAGCCUGCGGUCGAUACGGGCAGGCUAGAGUUCGGUAGGGGAGACUGGAAUUCCUGGUG
rnacentral:rRNA from 1 species